CAUAUCAAUAAGCGGAGGAAAAGAAACCAACAGGGAUUGCCCCAGUAACGGCGAGUGAAGCGGCAAGAGCUCAAAUUUGAAAUCUGGCCCCGUCGGGGUCCGAGUUGUAAUUUGCAGAGGAUGCUUCGGGUGCGGCCCCCGUCUAAGUGCCCUGGAACGGGCCGCCGGAGAGGGUGAGAGUCCCGUCUGGGACGGGUGGCCGCGUCCGUGUGAAGCUCCUUCGACGAGUCGAGUUGUUUGGGAAUGCAGCUCUAAAUGGGUGGUAAAUUUCAUCUAAAGCUAAAUAUUGGCCGGAGACCGAUAGCGCACAAGUAGAGUGAUCGAAAGAUGAAAAGCACUUUGAAAAGAGAGUUAAAUAGCACGUGAAAUUGUUGAAAGGGAAGCGCUUGCGACCAGACUCGCCCGCGGGGGUUCAGCCGGCACUCGUGCCGGUGCACUCCCCCGCGGGCGGGCCAGCGUCGGUUUGGGCGGUCGGUCAAAGGCCCCCGGAAUGUGUCGCCCCUCGGGGCGUCUUAUAGCCGGGGGUGCAAUGCGGCCAGCCCGGACCGAGGACCGCGCUUCGGCAUGGACGCUGGCGUAAUGGUCGUAAGCGAC
rnacentral:rRNA from 1 species